rnacentral:misc_RNA from 1 species
GCUCUCCCAGCUGAGCUACGGCCCCUAAAUCAGAAUAAAGCGUUUAAAACGAUCAAAAGAGGGAUUACAAAAUCUAUAUAACUCAAAGCGAUAUGAUUGAACCGAUAGUUUCAUAUAGGCAUUGACGUCUAUGAGCAUUUGGAAUUUAUAUCAACCAAAUGGACGCUGUAAAAAUCACUUUGCAAGGAAUUUUGACUCCUUAGUAUUUAGCAUUUGAACUGUUUUUUUGCCAUUAAUUUGCUUUAACUUUGGAUUACUCACACAAAAGCAAUAAGCCUGCCAAUUUUGAUAAGCUUUUUAGAAGCAAUCUUUUUAGAAGUACUUAUUUUUUAAAAGCACUUAUGAAAGUAAUGGAUAAACUGGUGGGCCUGGGAGGACUUGAACCUCCGACCUCACGCUUAUCAAGCGCGCGCUCUAACCAACUGAGCUACAAGCCCUCCGGGAUAAACCGGAAAACCUUCCCCGGCAUCCUCUUAUAAAACGCUUAAAUUUUAUCAAGGAAAGCGUUUUUCAAAGCCCACGGUGGACUUGUUUUGUCUAGAUCGCC